UAUGUUAAUUCGGUUGAUUGAAAGUGUCAUGAACUAACAAUCCCAUCACUCUAAAGCAGCGUUUCUCAAACCAGUCCAGGUUUUGUUAGUAUCUCCAUUGGAAUAAAACAGUUUCUCCAUUGGAAAAAAUACAUAAAUCCUGGACUGUUGGUGGGCCAUGAGGACUGGUUUGAGAACCACUGCUCUAAAGAGUUUGAAAUUGCUACUGAGAUUGUGAUACUGUACUUUGCCAUAUCUUGUUCAAUAUUAUUGAAAACUAUUCACUAAUUGCCAUGUAUAUUUACACUUAUUGACAAAAAUAAAUAUAAUUUUUAUA